UACGUAGGGUGCGAGCGUUGUCCGGAAUUAUUGGGCGUAAAGAGCUCGUAGGCGGUUUGUUGCGUCGGCCGUGAAAACCUGCAGCUUAACUGUGGGCCUGCGGCCGAUACGGGCAGACUUGAGUUCGGUAGGGGAGACUGGAAUUCCUGGUGUAGCGGUGAAAUGCGCAGAUAUCAGGAGGAACACCGAUGGCGAAGGCAGGUCUCUGGGCCACUACUGACGCUGAGAAGCGAAAGCGUGGGGAGCGAACAGG
rnacentral:rRNA from 1 species